AUUGAACGCUGGCGGCAUGCCUUACACAUGCAAGUCGAACGGCAGCACGGGUGCUUGCCCCUGGUGGCGAGUGGCGAACGGGUGAGUAAUACAUCGGAACAUGUCCUGUAGUGGGGGAUAGCCCGGCGAAAGCCGGAUUAAUACCGCAUACGAUCUACGGAUGAAAGCGGGGGACCUUCGGGCCUCGCGCUAUAGGGUUGGCCGAUAGCUGAUUAGCUAGUUGGUGGGGUAAAGGCCUACCAAGGCGACGAUCAGUAGCUGGUCUGAGAGGACGGCCAGCCACACUGGGACUGAGACACGGCCCAGACUCCUACGGGAGGCAGCAGUGGGGAAUUUUGGACAAUGGGCGAAAGCCUGAUCCAGCAAUGCCGCGUGUGUGAAGAAGGCCUUCGGGUUGUAAAGCACUUUUGUCCGGAAAGAAAUCCUUGGCUCUAAUACAGUCGGGGGAUGACGGUACCGGAAGAAUAAGCACCGGCUAACUACGUG
rnacentral:rRNA from 1 species